GCUCGGUUAGCUCAGUUGGUCAGAGCGUCGUACUAAUAUCUCCUUCAUGGGACAUGUUAAGUAAAUGCGAAGGUCAUGAGUUCAAGCCUCAUACUGAGCA
rnacentral:tRNA from 1 species